GGUAGUGGCUCAGUGGUAGAGCGCUUGCCUAGCAUGUGUGACGUACUGGGUUUGAUUCUCAGCACCA
rnacentral:tRNA from 1 species